AUUGAACGCUGGCGGCAUGCCUUACACAUGCAAGUCGAACGGCAGCGGACCUUCGGGUGCCGGCGAGUGGCGAACGGGUGAGUAAUGCAUCGGAACGUACCUUUCAGUGGGGGAUAACGUAGCGAAAGUUACGCUAAUACCGCGUAUUCUGUGAGCAGGAAAGCAGGGGAUCGCAAGACCUUGCGCUGAUUGAGCGGCCGAUGUCAGAUUAGCUAGUUGGUGAGGUAAAGGCUCACCAAGGCGACGAUCUGUAGCGGGUCUGAGAGGAUGAUCCGCCACACUGGAACUGAGACACGGUCCAGACUCCUACGGGAGGCAGCAGUGGGGAAUUUUGGACAAUGGGGGCAACCCUGAUCCAGCCAUGCCGCGUGAGUGAAGAAGGCCUUCGGGUUGUAAAGCUCUUUCGGUCGGGAAGAAAUCGCAUGGGUUAAUACCCUGUGCGGAUGACGGUACCGGCAUAAGAAGCACCGGCUAACUACGUGCCAGCCGCCGCAGUAAAAC
rnacentral:rRNA from 1 species